UUAAAAUAGAUUAAAACACAUUAAAAUAGAACUCUGCAGGUUACAAAAUGUACCGAAGACAACUUCUCCAGCAGCCUUUCCUCUUUUACUCUUGAAACAAAGAAAUUUAUGCUCAAUAAUUUAGCUCUUAAGUCAGGUACACUUCAUUCAGCACUGGAGAAGACUCGGGAUUUGCCCUCAGCCUGCUUCUACUCAACAGUGAUUUCAGAGAACUUUAUGUACUCAGAAGUGUCUUCAUAGUCCUAAUUUUUUGACAGAAUGACAAGACACUUUAGUCCUGGAACCUCAUUGCAUACCCUCGGGGAUAAAACUAAUCCCAUCCAGAGACCUUAAAGCUUGGCCACACCUGCGCAGUUAAUCUUGAAGACUGUGGGCAACAACAAGAUGUGAAUGUAGGCAAUGGGUCUCCACGUUCCGGACUGAGCCGCAGCGCUGAUGGACACGCGAAUCAUAUGGACAUGCCUGCGCGGAAAGUAUUUCCAGCUUCCUGGCUACGUCGCAGGGCUGAUGCAGACGCGGAUCAUAUGGGUCUUCAAAGAGCGAAGUACAAAUCCAAACCAAGGAAAUCUUUGCAGUGGAGAUCAGAAUUCCUGGAAGAACUCCCAGUAAUGCCAACGAAAGAAGGACGUGGUGGGUUUAGAGCACUCGUAACCAGGGGGCUUGGGAAGUGGAGGGUCAGAGACCUGGAUGGAGAAGCCAGAGCCUACUCCAGCAGGAAGGGAUCGACCGGAGCCUCGCUGCACUGACAUGGACUGUCAGACCUUCAGGAGCUGCUGAGCCUCUGGGAUGGUCGAGAGUCUCUGCUGCAGUUUUGGUCCCAGCUGAGCCCCAGCGCAGCCCCAUCUGAGUCGAUCCUGGCCAGAGCCGUUCUAGCAGACACUGACAUCCAGCUGGCAGGAGCUGUGGGUGCUCAGCCCUUGUCAUCAGAAGGGAGAGCAGCCCUGGGCGGCAGAGAGGACACGCAGGCAGCUUGGGCUCACUGAGUCUGGCAGAGCUGGCCAAGAUCAGAGCAGCCCCAGCUUCACCGUCUGGUCCAGCGCCUUUUCUCCUUGGUGUUUGAGGACUCUGGGUGACACCUCAGGGUCAGGGACAGAUGGAAAUUGGACACUCAGCUUGAGGCCACGCAGCUGGCUUGAAGGCAGCCACCAUGGAGGACUGUGGAUCCAGUCUUGGGUGUCUUUGAUCUCUGUUUCUGGAUGUGUUUUACAUAACUGGGUUGUGGUUUCCCUCUGGCUUUGGGGGUCUGUGGGUUCUUCAUGGUGAAAGUGCCCAGGACACAGUGACCAAAGCUUGGGGUUUGAUCCACUGCGUGUAUCUCUGACCCUUCCCAUGGGAUGGAGGUGGCAGGAUGGGAUGUGUUUCUCCUUAAGGGCUCUUUCCCAGCUGAACUGUUUGUAGCAUCUCCCUGUCUGCUCUGAAGGAAGGCGUUUACCAUCAUCUUCAGGUUUGCCAAAAACGCACUAAGUGUGACAAGAAGAUCCCACGCAAUCACCUGGUCUCUCAGCAGCUUUGGGUUUGCUCUCUGCGAGAACACUGGAGAGUGUCUAGGGCUUAAAUUCUCCUCCAUGAAUGACAGACAUAUCAUUUGGACAGGUGACAAGGUGCAGCCCCAAAUGCCCAGACUGUUUCUAAGCAUUCUUGGUGUCUUUUGCCUCCUGAAGUUCUUGUGCUCCUGCUGAGGAACAGUCACUUCUCUGCGGUGCGGAAUCGUUGCUGUAAGAGCGAUGCUCACUCAUAACCCUCUGUGGGUACAAGGAGAUGCUCACCGCCCUCCGCCCCAACUCACUGGGGUUCUAGAAUUUGCUGUUUUGGGAAUGAGGCCACCGGAAGUCUACUCAGCAGAUGAUGGAAGAUGUGACUCUUAAUGGGAUGCAUCUCCUGCCAAACCUGCCUCCCAGAGCCUGCCGGGAGUGCCCUGGGCACAGCGGAGGGGGAUCCCUGCUGUGAGCUGGGGGACAAAGGGAUGCACUGACCGACUGGACAUGGCUUGGAGGAGCCUGCACUGUCCCUCUGGACCCUCUGUGCCGGAGCCGUGCUGAGGCUUUGCCUUCCUCUGACUCUUGGCACUGCUGUCCCACUCCAGGGAAGCCCAUCAUACCAGAACAGAUUAUUCUUUCCAAGAGAAUCCAGGUCCUCAGCAGUCGGUGGAAGACAAGUCCUGCAAACUGGAGGCAUGGCAGCCUGGUGUCUGUCCUCAGAUACAUCCCCUGCUGAAGAUGCCACCUCCCUGAGGCGAAUAGUUCCAUCUGACCCAAGUCAUGCUUUUGGCAGCCUCUGCUGCCGGUUGUGGUUCCAGCCCAGUGCCAGGGCAGCUGCUGCCCCACUGUUACCAGUGUGGCUCAGAGCUGGUUUGUGCAGACCUCGGGGCACAUAUUGGACAUGGUUGAGCUCAUGUUCGGAUCCCCAUCAGGGAGGAGGGAGCGUUGAGGUGGCCCUCCCUGCUGCAGGGAUGGAUUUUUUCUGUGUCCCUGAAACGAGCAACUGGUCAAGGAUCUGCAUUCCCCACGUACUCUCCUGGCUGCCUGAAUUUUGUUGGGUAGGACAACCUGUCCCAAAGGUUGGGAGCGAGUGUGCAGACAGCAGCGCUGGAGGGAAAGAGAGAACGUCCUGGCAGUGGCAACCAUGAUGAGAAGUCCCCAGAGGGGUACAAGACAGACUGACAACUCCAAUUGCUCCCCCAGGUGUGCCUGAUGAGACGACCCCGAAUGUCCUCGAGCCCCAGAACACCACGAGUGAUAAAGGGCCUCAAGGUGUGCGACUCUGCAUAAUAAUAGGCGCAGUAGCAGCCCUGCUUUCCCUCGUGCUUCUGAUCCUGGUGUGCGGCGUUGUGAUCUGGAUGUGGAAGAAGAGAGAAAAGUAAGUCCCUGAUUCCCCCACGACUUCCUGCUAGGGCUGCUUGGAGCCAUGAGGCGUUUCUGCUCAGGGUGCUGGGCAGCGGUGAAGGAGAGCUUGGCCAAAACGCUCUGCUAAGGUCUCUGCUGCUGUCAGGUGCUUUAAUUGGCAUCUGAACUCCUGGUCCUCCUUCUCGGAGCCCCCUCUGACCGGAGCCAGGCUUGGCUCACGCUGACCCUGCUUGGACAUGAGUGACAGGCGUGGGCAAAGCAAGGUGGGAAAGACCAGGGGCUGAGAUUGCCCUGGGAAGCGAGACGUGCACCAGCGCCUGCUCCUGACAGGGAACCUGCCCAGAGGAAUCCCCCUACGCGGUGGUGCCAGCGGGUGACCAUGUCCCCAUUGGCCACGCUGUGCUGCCAGCUCCCAGUCCAACUAUGCCUGCUCCAUGCUGUGGAGGAGACUCACCAUCCUCCACCUGCAGCUGAGGCCUCAGCCACUUUUUCUCUCCAUAGAGACCUCUCUGCAGCUCCAGAAGCUC